AUAACGGUCCUAAGGUAGCGAAAUUCCUUGUCGGGUAAGUUCCGACCUGCACGAAAGGCGCAACGACUUGGGCGCUGUCUCGACCAUGGACCCGGUGAAAUUGCACUGGUCGUGAAGAUGCGACUUACCCGCGGAAGGACGGAAAGACCCCGUGAACCUUCACUGCAGCUUGGCAUUGGCCGCUGGUCCCGCGUGUAGAGGAUAGGCAGGAGGCACAGAUCCGGAGGCGCCAGCCCCCGGGGAGCCGCCCUUGGAAUACUGCCCUCGCGCGACCGGCGUCCUAACCCGAGGCCGUCAACCGGCUCGGGGACCGUGCCAGGCGGGCAGUUUGACUGGGGCGGUCGCCUCCUAAAGGGUAACGGAGGCGCGCGAAGGUCCGCUCGGGACGGUCGGCAACCGUCCUUUUGAAUGCAAGAGUACAAGCGGGCUUGACUGCGAGGCCCACAAGCCGAGCAGGUGCGAAAGCAGGCUCUAGUGAUCCGGCGGCCCCGAGUGGGUGGGCCGUCGCUCAACGGAUAAAAGGUACUCCGGGGAUAACAGGCUGAUCUUGCCCAAGAGUCCACAUCGACGGCAAGGUUUGGCACCUCGAUGUCGGCUCAUCGCAUCCUGGGGCUGGAGAAGGUCCCAAGGGUUGGGCUGUUCGCCCAUUAAAGCGGUACGCGAGCUGGGUUCAGAACGUCGUGAGACAGUUCGGUCCCUAUCCUCCGUGGGCGCAGGAGAAUCGAUGGAGGCUGCCCCCAGUACGAGAGGACCGGGGUGGACGCACCUCCGGUGAACCGGUUGUCGACCAACGGCACGGCCGGGUAGCCGCGUGCGGCGCGGAUAACCGCUGAAGGCAUCUAAGCGGGAAGCCGUUCCAGGGAUUAGUUCUCCUUCCGGUAAGGGCCCAGGUAGACUACCUGGUCGAUAGACGGCAGGUGCAAGGCUGGCGACAGCCUCAGCCGAGCCGCACUAAUCGCCCGAGCUCUUCCGGAA
rnacentral:rRNA from 1 species